rnacentral:rRNA from 1 species
GAUGAACGCUGGCGGCGUGCCUAAUACAUGCCAGUCGAGCGAACAGAUGAGGAGCUUGCUCCUCUGACGUUAGCGGCGGACGGGUGAGUAACACGUGGAUAACCUACCUAUAAGACUGGGAUAACUUCGGGAAACCGGAGCUAAUACCGGAUAAUAUAUUGAACCGCAUGGUUCAAUAGUGAAAGACGGUUUUGCUGUCACUUAUAGAUGGAUCCGCGCCGCAUUAGCUAGUUGGUAAGGUAACGGCUUACCAAGGCAACGAUGCGUAGCCGUCCUGAGAGGGUGAUCGGCCACACUGGAACUGAGACACGGUCCAGACUCCUACGGGAGGCAGCAGUAGGGAAUCUUCCGCAAUGGGCGAAAGCCUGACGGAGCAACGCCGCGUGAGUGAUGAAGGUCUUCGGAUCGUAAAACUCUGUUAUUAGGGAAGAACAAAUGUGUAAGUAACUAUGCACGUCUUGACGGUACCUAAUCAGAAAGCCACGGCUAACUACGUG